UGAGGAAUAUUGGUCAAUGGGCGCAAGCCUGAACCAGCCAUGCCGCGUGCAGGAUGACGGCCCUACGGGUUGUAAACUGCUUUUAUAUGGGAAGAAAUUCGGGUACGAGUAUCCGAUUGACGGUACCAUAGGAAUAAGGAUCGGCUAACUCCGUGCCAGCAGCCGCGGUAAUACGGAGGAUCCAGGCGUUAUCCGGAUUUAUUAGGUUUAAAGGGUGCGUAGGCGGGCUUAUAAGUCAGUGGUGAAAUACUGCCGCUUAACGGUAGCAUUGCCAUAGAUACUGUAGGCCUUGAGUGUAGUUGAGGCAGGCGGAAUGUGUCAAGUAGCGGUGAAAUGCAUAGAUAUGACACAGAACACCGAUUGCGAAGGCAGCUUGCUAAGCUACAACUGACGCUGAGGC
rnacentral:rRNA from 1 species